rnacentral:rRNA from 1 species
GACGAACGCUGGCGGCGUGCCUAACACAUGCAAGUCGAGCGGAGUCGAUCGACGGAAGCCUUCGGGCGGAAGAUGGUUGACUUAGCGGCGGAUGGGUGAGUAACGCGUGGGCAACCUGCCUCGAAGACCGGGAUAACAGCCCGAAAGGGCUGCUAAUACCGGAUGUGGUCAAGGAUCCGCAUGGAUUUUUGAUUAAAGGGGAAACCCGUUUCGAGAUGGGCCCGCGUCCUAUCAGCUAGUUGGUGAGGUAAAAGCUCACCAAGGCGACGACGGGUAGCCGGCCUGAGAGGGUGACCGGCCACACUGGAACUGAGACACGGUCCAGACUCCUACGGGGGCAGCAGUGGGGAAUCUUCCACAAUGGGCGAAAGCCUGAUGGAGCGACGCCGCGUGAGCGAAGAAGGCCUUCGGUUGUAAAGCUCUGUCUGGAGGGACGAAGGAAGUGACGGUACCUCCGGAGGAAGCCACGGCUAACUACGUGCCAGCAGCCGCGGUAAACACGAGAAGUA